rnacentral:rRNA from 1 species
UACAGAGGUCUCGAGCGUUAGGCGGAAUCACUGGGCUUAAAGCGUGUGUAGGCGGAUCGGUAAGUACCUUGUGAAAUCCCACAGCUUAACUGUGGAACUGCUUGGUAUACUGCCAGUCUUGAGCCAGCUAGGGGCUACCGGAACAAAUGGUGGAGCGGUGAAAUGCGCAGAUAUCAGGAGGAACACCGAUGGCGAAGGCAGAUCUCUGGGCCGUAACUGACGCUGAGGAGCGAAAGCAUGGGGAGCGAACAGG